UACGGAGGGUGCGAGCGUUGUCCGGAUUUAUUGGGUUUAAAGGGUGCGUAGGUGGCUGUUUAAGUCAGUGGUGAAAUACAUACGCUUAACGUAUGAGGUGCCAUUGAUACUGAAUAGCUUGAAAUAAUUGGAGGCUGCCGGAAUGGAUGGUGUAGCGGUGAAAUGCAUAGAUAUCAUCCAGAACACCGAUUGCGAAGGCA
rnacentral:rRNA from 1 species